rnacentral:misc_RNA from 1 species
AGAUAAUGCCCUAGGCCUUCGAUGAACCUUCCCCAUGGUUUAAAGAGCUUGCCCUAGCGCCUUUCCCUUUUCGGCCUAACGAGGGCUUUUCUUCCUCCGCAUUUUUAGGAUGAUAUAGAUUUUCGAUCUGACAGUGACACGUGUAUAAAUAUAAGCGGUCAAACCAUCUCCCCAUCUCAAGGAGGGCCUACACUUCCUCUGCUGUCUCGUCGACCUUUCCCUUCGAUGAUUCGUUCAAACAAAAUGUCAUGCUUCGUGCUUCGCACCCCUCGCAUUUUCAGUUGAUUCUUCCCAACUUCGAGAGUGAGA